rnacentral:rRNA from 1 species
UACGUAGGGUGCAAGCGUUGUCCGGAAUUAUUGGGCGUAAAGAGCUCGUAGGCGGUCUGUCGCGUCUGCUGUGAAAACUCAGGGCUUAACCCUGAGCUUGCAGUGGGUACGGGCAGACUAGAGUGCGGUAGGGGAGACUGGAAUUCCCGGUGUAGUGGUGAAAUGCGUAGAUAUCGGGAGGAACACCAGUGGCGAAGGCGACUUUCUGGCCUGUUCUUGACGCUGAGGCGCGAAAGCUAGGGUAGCAAACGGG